ACUGUCGCUAACAUAUCCAGGUUUAAUUAUUUAUUCUUUAUAUUGACUAAUUAGUAUUCUUCUAACGUUACCCUGCUAUGUGUUUGCAUCGUUAAAAUAUCCCUGUUUAAUUAUUUAUUCUUUAUAUUGAUUAAUUAAUAUUCUUCUAAGGUUAAUACGAAUAUGUAUCACUGGCUUUUAUUUUGACUUUCAUUUUAAGCACUUCCGUUCUGUCGUUUUUGGUUUCAGACGGCAGAAACGAAAUACGGAGGUGGUAUUCCGUUUUUGGUUUCAAACGGAAAACGAAAAAACCACGUGAUUUCCGUAUUCCGUAUUUGGAAUUAAACGAAAAAACAAACUAACAUUACGUACACGGACCGUCGUCUCCUUGUGGGUUGCGGUCCUCGUGGUUCAAGAGGAGCAGUGCGGAUUCCGUCCCGGUUGUGAAACAGUGGACCAGCUCUUUACCCUCGCAAGACUGCUGGAGGGGUCCUGGGAGUUUGCCCAACCAGUCCACAUGUGUUUUGUGGACUUGGACAAGGCUUUCUCCUGGGUUCCUCUGGGGCUUUUGUGGGGGGUGUUGCAAGAGUUUGGGGUGCCGGGCUGUCGGGUCUCUGUGCGACUGCAGUAUGAGCUGUUUGUAUUCUCUGCAAUAAAUCAGAUAUGUUCCCGGCGUUCAUUUGACUCUCUCUGGUUAUUUUUAGAGUUAGGUGAAGGUGGCUGAACCAGACAGAUGUGUGAUAAAAACUACUAACGUUAAGAAAAGUCUCCAAGUCUCUUUUACCCAGGUUAAGGACCAGAUGACUAGAUGAGGAGGAUGGAGGACCAGAGGACCAGAUGAGGACCAGAUGACGGACCACAGCGGCGGUGGUCUUUCUUUCAGUGGGCUGAGCAGGACUCCACUGGGCUUUUGUCUCGCUCUUGGGGAAGCUGAGGGUGGGCGUCAACCAUCCCGAUGCCCAGACCCCCAGCAGACCUCUGAACCCCUCUCAGCACCCCAGAGAGUCCAAGACCCAGUGAAUAAGGUCCGAGCUGCCCCCCCACCCCGACACCACCCGCCAGCCAGGAGGACGAGGAGGGUCCCGUCCCCACCAGCACAGAGGACGGAGUUUGUUUCCAUCGGCUUCUUCUGUGACGGGUUCGGGAAGCUCCUCACACACACACACACAGGAAGCUGUCAUCCAGACAGGAAGUUGUCAUCCGCUGUUUGCAUCAUCUGCCGACAAGAAAUCAAGGAGGAGACUGACGCUUCAGGCUGAGCGAGAAAUAAUCAUCUAAAAGCUUUCAAAUGUCAUUUGUCGCAUAAAAUCCUGUAUGUUCAUGUUCAUGUAUGUACAAUAUUGUUACUGUUUAUUUACUGAGUAGCACAAUUAUAUACAUGUUCAACAAACCUUCUCAAUAUGUCUCUUUAUAUUGUAUAAUUUUUCUGAUCGUUGAUAUCUGACAAUGUAUAACACUUUAUAUAUAAAUAUUCUCCCUUUUUGAUUUC